GGCUUUGUGGGAAGGGUCUAAGGCAUGCGAGUCAUUGUAGUAAUACAAGGCAGACGGCUCAGUAACGCGUAGUCAACCUACCCUAUGGACGGGGAUAACCUCGGGAAACUGAGAAUAAUACCCGAUAGAACAUUAUGCCUGGAAUGGUUUAUGUUUCAAAUAAUUUAUUGCCGUAGGAUGGGACUGCGGCCUAUCAGUUUGUUGGUGAGGUAAUGGCCCACCAAGACUAUUACAGGUACGGGCUCUGAGAGGAGUAGCCCGGAGAUGGGUACUGAGACACGGACCCAGGCCCUAUGGGGCGCAGCAGGCGAGAAAACUUUGCAAUGUGCGAAAGCACGACAAGGUUAAUCCGAGUGGUUUCUGCUAAAGGAACCUUUUGUCAGUCCUAGAAACACUGGUGAAUAAGGGGUGGGCAAGUUCUGGUGUCAGCCGCCGCGGUAAAACCAGCACCUCAAGUGGUCAGGAUGAUUAUUGGGCCUAAAGCAUCCGUAGCCUGCUUUGUAAGUUUUCGGUUAAAUCCAUACGCUCAACGUAUGGGCUGCCGGGAAUACUGCAAAGCUAGGGAGUGGGAGAGGUAGACGGUACUCGGUAGGAAGGGGUAAAAUCCUUUGAUCUAUUGAUGACCACCUGUGGCGAAGGCGGUCUACCAGAACACGUCCGACGGUGAGGGAUGAAAGCUGGGGGAGCAAACCGGAUUAGAUACCCGGGUAGUCCCAGCUGUAAACUAUGCAAACUCAGUGAUGCAUUGGCUUGAUGCCAAUGCAGUGCUGCAGGGAAGCCGUUAAGUUUGCCGCCUGGGAAGUACGUACGCAAGUAUGAAACUUAAAGGAAUUGGCGGGGGAGCACCACAAAGGGGUGAAGCCUGCGGUUCAAUUGGAGUCAACGCCGGG
rnacentral:rRNA from 1 species